AGUCGAGCGGAGUGAUGGUGCUUGCACUAUCACUUAGCGGCGGACGGGUGAGUAAUGCUUAGGAAUCUGCCUAUUAGUGGGGGACAACAUUUCGAAAGGAAUGCUAAUACCGCAUACGUCCUACGGGAGAAAGCAGGGGAUCUUCGGACCUUGCGCUAAUAGAUGAGCCUAAGUCGGAUUAGCUAGUUGGUGGGGUAAAGGCCUACCAAGGCGACGAUCUGUAGCGGGUCUGAGAGGAUGAUCCGCCACACUGGGACUGAGACACGGCCCAGACUCCUACGGGAGGCAGCAGUGGGGAAUAUUGGACAAUGGGCGCAAGCCUGAUCCAGCCAUGCCGCGUGUGUGAAGAAGGCCUUAUGGUUGUAAAGCACUUUAAGCGAGGAGGAGGCUACUGAAGUUAAUACCUUCAGAUAGUGGACGUUACUCGCAGAAUAAGCACCGGCUAACUCUGUGCCAGCAGCCGCGGUAAUACAGAGGGUGCAAGCGUUAAUCGGAUUUACUGGGCGUAAAGCGCGCGUAGGCGGCUAAUUAAGUCAAAUGUGAAAUCCCCGAGCUUAACUUGGGAAUUGCAUUCGAUACUGGUUAGCUAGAGUGUGGGAGAGGAUGGUAGAAUUCCAGGUGUAGCGGUGAAAUGCGUAGAGAUCUGGAGGAAUACCGAUGGCGAAAGCAGCCAUCUGGCCUAACACUGACGCUGAGGUGCGAAAGCAUGGGGAGCAAACAGGAUUAGAUACCCUGGUAGUCCAUGCCGUAAACGAUGUCUACUAGCCGUUGGGGCCUUUGAG
rnacentral:rRNA from 1 species